UUAUCGGAGAGUUUGAUCCUGGCUCAGGACGAACGCUGGCGGCGUGCCUAAUACAUGCAAGUCGAGCGGACAGAUGGGAGCUUGCUCCCUGAUGUUAGCGGCGGACGGGUGAGUAACACGUGGGUAACCUGCCUGUAAGACUGGGAUAACUCCGGGAAACCGGGGC
rnacentral:rRNA from 1 species